UACAGAGGAGCCAAGCGUUGUCCGGAUUGACUGGGCGUAAAGCGCACGCAGGCGGUUGCGCGCGUGGGGUGUGAAAUCUGGCCGCUUAACGGCCAGGCGCCAUCCCAUACGGCGCGACUGGAGUGAUGCAGAGGUCGAUGGAAUUGCCGGUGUAGCGGUGAAAUGCGCAGAUAUCAGGAGGAACACCGGUGGCGAAGGCGGCAUCCUGGACCGGCAUUGACGCUGAGGCGCGAAAGCCAGGGGAGCAAACGGG
rnacentral:rRNA from 1 species